UACGAAGGGGGGCUAGCGUUGUUCGGAAUUACUGGGCGUAAAGGGCGCGUAGGCGGUGUGUCAAGUCAGGCGUGAAAGCCCCGGGCUCAACCUGGGAACAGCGCUUGAGACUGGCACGCUCGAGUUCGGGAGAGGAUGGUGGAAUUCCCAGUGUAGAGGUGAAAUUCGUAGAUAUUGGGAAGAACACCGAUGGCGAAGGCAGCCAUCUGGACCGACACUGACGCUGAGGCGGCGAAAAGCGUGGGGGAGCAAACAGG
rnacentral:rRNA from 1 species